GCUACUUUAUUCCUUUGAGAUGUAUAUUUUUCUUGUCUCAAUAAAUAUACUUGAACUUGAACUUUAGAAUGUUUAGGGAUUUAAACAGAGGGGCUGUGUGUUGUAUGAAGACAGGGUUUGUUACAAAUUUUGAUAGCAAAUUUUUGCUGGGUGAUGAUGGGGUUGAGGUAGUUUGCAGUGGAUGAACCCCAUGCAUAGAUACCGUAUGUAAGAUAGGGAUAGAUUAGCGAGAAGUAUAAUGUAAGAAGAGCAGAGUAGGGAACAUAAUAUAUGCUUUUUGAGAGUAUACUAACAAUUUUAGAGAUUUUUGUGAAUAUGUUGUGAAUAUUGAAGUUUAGUCUAUUGACUAUGUAAAGAUCAAGAAACUUUAUUUUUUUUACUAUUAAUGUUAACAUUGUAUAUCUAACAGUGAAUUUGGUUUGAUGAUUUGGUUCCAAAUAAAAUGUAACAGGUAACUAUGUUUGGUGACCUGCUGUCAUGUCACCCUACAUGUCACAUGACAGCAGGCGACCUGCGUUAUGUCCUGUUAUUAUGUCACACUAAACCACACUUUGUUUAGUGUGAGCAUGUUGGUCGACAUCCAUGUGGGCCUUUGUUUAAAAUCGUUAUUUACAAUAUUAUUUGGAGUAUGUGGGUUUGGGUUUGAGCAGAUGAAGGUAGUAUCGUCAGCAAAUAGUGUAAGUAUAGGAGCAUGAGAGACAUUUGGCACGUCAUUGAGUUUGUCAUUACCCACUUUUUGUCUCGCUUGUUUACCUGUUAAAUA